rnacentral:rRNA from 1 species
GACGAACGCUGGCGGCGUGCUUAACACAUGCAAGUCGAACGGAAAGGCCCUGCUUUUGUGGGGUGCUCGAGUGGCGAACGGGUGAGUAACACGUGAGUAACCUGCCCUUGACUUUGGGAUAACUUCAGGAAACUGGGGCUAAUACCGGAUAGGAGCUCCUGCUGCAUGGUGGGGGUUGGAAAGUUUCGGCGGUUGGGGAUGGACUCGCGGCUUAUCAGCUUGUUGGUGGGGUAGUGGCUUACCAAGGCUUUGACGGGUAGCCGGCCUGAGAGGGUGACCGGCCACAUUGGGACUGAGAUACGGCCCAGACUCCUACGGGAGGCAGCAGUGGGGAAUAUUGCACAAUGGGCGGAAGCCUGAUGCAGCAACGCCGCGUGCGGGAUGACGGCCUUCGGGUUGUAAACCGCUUUCGCCUGGGAAGAAGCGUGAGUGACGGUAAUGGGAAAAGAAGCACCGGCUAACUACGUG